UAGUGUGUGACAUCCCUUUCUCCCUCUUGCGUAAGCACAAAUUCAAAAUGUAAUUUGUUGCAAUUAGACCUAGUUGCAAGUAUCUGACAUUUCAACAAACAUUUUUUGCCAAACAUUUUUCAUGAAAAAGUUCUUUGCCCACUUUGUAGAGCAGUCCGCAGUUUUGGAAAAUUCCAAAUGUUGACAAGAAAAGCUUCCUCUCUCUGUUUACAUGAAACACGGGGACGUGCGAGGAACUGAGGAAUAAGAACCGGUUGGCUGAAUCCUAGCACAGUUCUUUUCGUCUUUUCGUCUGUCUCUCUUAACGUCCUCUAAGGAGAAGAGAGGAAUGUGGAAUGGAGGUGAGAUUAAAACGAUGCCCCCCAAAACGAGGGACUUUUGAAAGG